UUAUUUUUCCCUAAUUUUUCCUUGUGAUGUUCGCUAUUCCUUUUCUUCUUUUCUUCUCUUCACUUUUUCUUUUUUUUUUCUCCCUUUUCCUUUCUCUUCCUUUUUCCCAGCCGUCGCACCAUUGUAGCCACCAUAUUCAUCCACCAUCCUUGAUUUUCCACUGCUGUUUAUAUUCCUUGAACCGUCGAAUCCCUUUCCUUUAUCGAAUCAUCCUCUUUUCGUUUGGAUUUCGUUAGUGUUUAGAUCUGUUGAUGAAAAUUAUUGUUAUCUUUAACCAGAGGGUGUUUAUCCGCAUAUUUCCUGGUAGUUCAUCUACAAAUCUACUGGCGGUUCGUUCGCAUAUCUACUGGUGGUAUAUCCACACGAGCUUUUCCUCAAACUGCUAUAGUGUAUAGGGUUGGACGAGUUUUGGGGGACUCUUACUGUGGAGUGUAGCGGAUUGAUAGGUUAAGGUUCGAACUCGGCAUUCGGAGCACUGUCGUCGGUUUUCCUUAAAAAGGUAGUUCUAAAUUGUUUUAUUAAUUAUUUUGGAUUUUGCAGUGCUUUAAAAAGACUGUGGCAUGGAAUUUAAUAUUUUAUUUGGGUGUUUGAAUUGGGGAUUUGACAUUAUAUGCUUUUGAUGAAAAACUCAAAUUUGGAUAAGGUUUAUAUGAUUUUAUUUUAAAUUGUUUGAAAGUGAGUAAAAUAUGAUUUUUCUUUCAACUUGGAACUAAAAGAAAAAUGAACAAGAUAAUUAAAUAAACUAGCGUUUCUUAAAAUGUAUUAAAAUUAUAAAUGAGACUUUUGGAAACCAAACAGAAUUAUUUUUCUACAAAGUGAUCUUCAUUAGUUUUAUAGAGUGAUGAAUAUUAACUAUAUGUAAUCUCUUCUAAAUAAGUUUGAGAUUUUAUAACUUAAAAUCAUUAUAUUGAAUCUGAAUGUUUUUUUGGGCCAUUCGAUGGCUAAUGUAAUUUUCACGAUUCGACCAUAACGUCUGGGUUGGGUUGGAAAUGUUACACUAUUCAUGUGUCAGUGUCUGUCACGUUAAAAAGUGUGGGUAAAUUUUUUCUAUGGUUAAAUUGGUAAAUAUUGGAAAUAUUUUAUUAUUUUGUUUAGCCAUAUUGUCGGGGCUUUGCUUGUAAUUUUCUAAUAAGGGCUUUUGAAAGCUCAAUUUUCCCUUCCUCAUAUUUUCCUCAUGUGCCACUCAUGCUAGGGCUAAAGCCCUAAGAUGUUACCAACCCUAGAUAUAAAUACAUAUUUUUUUAAUGCUGGCCACCUUUUAUUUUUCCCUAAUUUUUCCUUAUGCUUCCCUCUCUUCCUCUUCUUCUUUUCUUCUCUUUUCUCCCUUUUCUUUUCUCUUCCAUUUUUCUGGUCGCCACACCAUUGUAGCCACUGUAUUCAUCCACCAUCCUUGAUUUGCUAAUGCUCUUUACAUUCUUUGAAUCACUGAAUCCCUUUCCUUUACCAAAACAUCCUCUUUUCAUUUGGAUUUCGUUGGUGUUUAGAUCUGUCGAUGAAAACCAUCGUUAUCUUCAGCCGUAGGGGGUAAGUGUAAUCUAUAUCAAUGGUUAAAUCUCAAUUUUUGAUUGUAUGAAUGAGUUAUGUUUUUCUUUUCAUUUGGCUUAACCGAUCUCUUUCGAAUUUAUGUCAAAAGCCUUAAUAUCGAUUGCUAACUUGCGUAUUUUUUGUGAAAUAUGUUGUUUGAAGGAUCAAAUCAGAUUUGAACGUGUGGAGUGCCAAAUGAACUUGUGGUGAAAGGUAUGUGUCCUACCCAUGAAAAUUGGUGGCAAAUCGUAUGUGAUUUUGGGGCCAUAUGGUCUACCACAAGGGCGUGCGUCCAAGACAGUUGGUCGACACGACCAUGUGCUACUGUAACAUUAGAGUAUUUUCACUAUCACAUAGCCACAACUAGUUACACGGCCAGCCACACGUCCAUGUUUCUAUCGUUGGGGAUUUUUGUUACUGACCACACGACUUCAGAGAGCUACACGGCCACGUACCUCAAUAUCACACAAUUUCAGCCUUUUCAUACGUCCUGGCCACGCGACCGUGUGACCACUGUUUUACAGUUUUGCCUUGAUUUUUGUGAAAUGUUUCAAUUUAUUCCCUGUAUAAUCCCUAACUUGUUUUGGAGUUUUCGUAGGCUCAAUUGAGACCCUGUUACCAUAAUUGUUUUGAAAUAUGUGAUAUGUUUGAUUAUGUGUUAAAUCUGAAAUUACUACUGAUAAAUAUUUAUUGCUACUGUUAAAACUACUACCGCUGCUGUUUGGAUGAUAAUCACAUGAUCAUAUUGUUAUUA